rnacentral:rRNA from 1 species
GACGAACGCUGGCGGCGCGCCUAACACAUGCAAGUCGAACGAGCGAGAGAGAGCUUGCUUUCUUGAGCGAGUGGCGAACGGGUGCGUAACGCGUGAGGAACCUGCCUCAAAGAGGGGGACAACAGUUGGAAACGACUGCUAAUACCGCAUAAGCCCACGACCCGGCAUCGGGUUGAGGGAAAAGGUGCAAUCCGCCUUGAGAUGGCCUCGCGUCCGAUUAGCUAGUUGGUGAGGUAACGGCCCACCAAGGCGACGAUCGGUAGCCGGACUGAGAGGUUGAACGGCCACAUUGGGACUGAGACACGGCCCAGACUACUGCGGGAAGCAGCAGUGGGGAAUAUUGCACAAUGGGGGAGACCCUGAUGCAGCGACGCCGCGUGGAGGAAGAAGGUCUUCGGAUUGUAAACUCCUGUUGUUGAGGAAGAUAAUGACGGUACUCAACAAGGAAGUGACGGCUAACUACGUG